AGCGAACGCUGGCGGCAGGCCUAACACAUGCAAGUCGAACGGAUCCUUCGGGAUUAGUGGCGGACGGGUGUGUAACACGUGGGAACGUGCACUUUGGGUCGGAACAACUCAGGGAAACUUGAGCUAAUACCGGAUGUGCCCUUCGGGGGAAAGAUUUAUCGCCAUUGGAGCGGCACGCGUCUGAUUAGCUAGUUGGGGAGGUAACGGCCCACCAAGGCGACGAUCAGUAGCUGGGCUGAGAGGCUGAUCAGCCACACUGGGACUGGGACACGGCCCAGACUCCUACGGGAGGCAGCAGUGGGGAAUCUUGCGCAAUGGGCGAAAGCCUGACGCAGCCAUGCCGCGUGAAUGAUGAAGGUCUUAGGAUUGUAAAAUUCUUUCAGCGGGGACGAUAAUGACGGUACCCGCAGAAGAAGCUCCGGCUAACUUCGUG
rnacentral:rRNA from 1 species